rnacentral:rRNA from 1 species
GCGAACGCUGGCGGCAGGCUUAACACAUGCAAGUCGAAUGGGCUUCUUCGGAAGUCAGUGGCAGACGGGUGAGUAACACGUGGGAACGUGCCCUUCGGUUCGGAAUAACUCAGGGAAACUUGAGCUAAUACCGGAUACGCCCUUUUGGGGAAAGGUUUACUGCCGAAGGAUCGGCCCGCGUCUGAUUAGCUUGUUGGUGGGGUAACGGCCUACCAAGGCGACGAUCAGUAGCUGGUCUGAGAGGAUGAUCAGCCACACUGGGACUGAGACACGGCCCAGACUCCUACGGGAGGCAGCCGUGGGGAAUAUUGGACAAUGGGCGCAAGCCUGAUCCAGCCCUGGUGCGUGAGGGAUGAAGGCCUUAGGGUUGUAAAGCUCUUUUGUCCGGGACGAUAAUGACGGUACCGGAAGAAUAAGCCCCGGCUAACUUCGUG